GAAACCUUGGCUAUUCUCUCUCUUCUCAUUCAUAAAAAAACUAUCCCUAAUUGUUUGUUUUGCUACAUAAUCUCCCUUUCUAAAUCUAAAACAGAUAAGAGAUUUGUAGAUAGGAUGGAAAAUGAGCUGUUCAUGACUGGCCACUAAUUAAUUCUGGUAAAUGGAAAGAAGGAAUUAACUUCUCCAACUGAAAUCCAAAGCAAAAGAGCCAAAAUGCAGUAGAGUGGGAAACGACUAAGAUUUAAGAGUAAAAGCUUUCUCUUAGGCAGACAGUCAUGACAAGCAAAUCCUAAGACUGCACCUGACCGAGUCAAUAUUUGCUCCUUGAACACUACUUCUACUUGUUCAUUACAAGGGUUUAUCUGGAAGGUUACAGAUAAAUCAGUUACUGAAUCCAUAUGAGCACUGCC
rnacentral:lncRNA from 1 species